GAUGAAGAACGUAGCGAAAUGCGAUACGUAAUGUGAAUUGCAGAAUUCAGUGAAUCAUCGAAUCUUUGAACGCAUAUUGCGCUCUCUGGUAUUCCGGAGAGCAUGCUUGUUUGAGUAUCAGUAAACACCUCAACUUCCAUAUCUUUUUUUGAAAUGGGAGUUGGACUUGAGUGAUCCCAACGCUUUUCCUCACCGAAAAGUGGCGGGUUACUUGAAAUGCAGGUGCAGCUGGACUUUUCUCUGAGCUAUAAGCAUAUCUAUUUAGUCUGCCUAAAAAACAGAUUAUUACCUUUGCUGCAGCUAACAUAAAGGAGAUUAGUUCUUGUGCUGACUGAUGCAGGAUUCACAAAGACAGCUUCGGCCGACUUUGUAAACUCGAUCUCAAAUCAAGUAAGACUACCCGCUGAACUUAAGUAUAUCAAUAAGCGGAGGA
rnacentral:misc_RNA from 1 species